rnacentral:rRNA from 1 species
CCUACGGGAGGCAGCAGUGGGGAAUAUUGCACAAUGGGCGAAAGCCUGAUGCAGCGACGCCGCGUGAGGGAUGACGGCCUUCGGGUUGUAAACCUCUUUCAGCAGGGAAGAAGCGAAAGUGACGGUACCUGCAGAAGAAGCGCCGGCUAACUACGUGCCAGCAGCCGCGGUAAUACGUAGGGCGCAAGCGUUGUCCGGAAUUAUUGGGCGUAAAGAGCUCGUAGGCGGCUUGUUGCGUCGGUUGUGAAAGCCCGGGGCUUAACCCCGGGUCUGCAGUCGAUACGGGCAGGCUAGAGUGUGGUAGGGGAGAUCGGAAUUCCUGGUGUAGCGGUGAAAUGCGCAGAUAUCAGGAGGAACACCGGUGGCGAAGGCGGAUCUCUGGGGCCAUUACUGACGCUGAGGAGCGAAAGCGUGGGGAGCGAACAGGAUUAGAUACCCUGGUAGUCCACGCCGUAAACGUUGGGAACUAGGUGUUGGCGACAUUCCACGUCGUCGGUGCCGCNGCACGCAUAGUUACCCGUCCGUCGGGNGGUACGGCCGCGACGGACGUAAACGUUAAACGGUAAAGUUAGUAACGGUCGUGUUAGACGUGCCGACGGACGACGACGAGGGAGGAGGG